AAAUAGCUCCUUCGUACGAAAGGAGUUGGAGAUGCUGAUCUAUGGUUUACCUGUUGUUUAAUUUUAUUUUACUACUUUCACUUAAGUAGAUUUAGUGAUUAGGCAUGGCAGGAAAGCUAAGUCAGUUAAAGAUAAGUGCUGAAUGCAUUUAAGCACGAAGCUUAU
rnacentral:ncRNA from 1 species